UGCAGUCUUGGUGCUGUGCAAAGGGGGAUGAGAAUGCUAGCCAUCCCCGGGGGCAGCUGUGAGGAUGAGAAGGAAGGGAGUGUGACCUGUGCUCCAUCUGGCUCUGACACUGUCGAGAGCUGCCCAUUCUGUCUCCAGGACCUCGGUCCUUGCAACUGAGUGGAUGCCAUGGGAGCUCCAGCCAAUUCUCACUGGAGCCUACCCACUGUCUAUAGUUGAUUGGUGCAGAGAUAGCCGCUCAACCCAAACUGGGCCAAUCAAAGUGCUUCUCUGGGAUUUCCUGUUAAUAAAGGUCAGACUCUGGACCCUUAUUUGAGCUUCAAUGUGAACUUUCAGUCCUGUUCUUCACCAGAUGGUGAGAGAUUGAGGCUGAGAUUUGGAGGAAAGCAGAGGGGAGAGAGAGUGUGCUCAGUGGCAGUACUCAUGAGGCCCCAGGACUUACUGAAGCCUAAAGUUUCUGAUGUUUUGAGGUCUCCCCUGCCCUUCCAGUUCCAAGCCCUCCCCUGUCAUGUUCCAUUGUAUGGACACUGGCUUCUUCCUGAUGUUUCCUUUGUGCUUUUUCUUGUUGUCCAUCUGUCCCCUUGUCACCUCCAUUUUGCCAGCUCUGGGAAUGCCACCUGCCCCCUGUAGGCUCCUAAUAUGCACAUUUUACAAAGAGGAAUGCUGAGCUUCCUGGGGGCUGAUCAUGUAGCCUUCCUGGGAUUCUGUAGCCAAUAAGUGAGCGUUUGUCUUGUUUCUGCGCCUUGCAGCCAGAACCCUGAAGAAUGCCAGUGUCUGUGGUCUUGGGAAAGUCUCUUCCCUUCUUUGGCUGCGUCUGUCCUUCCUGCAAAGCAGGAGGAGAUGGUAGCACUGCAAAGGUAAUGGCGAGGCCUGGGAGCGUGCCAGCCCCUCCCGAUGCUCUCAGGGGAAGAGCCAGGCGUAGGAACCCUUGUAGGGUGGGAGGUGUGGAUGCAGACCUUGGAUCUGGAGCCACCCCUCCCAAAACACAUGCAGGGAUGUUAGGCACAGUGUUCAACCUCCCUUGGUUUCAGUCUGGAAAAUGCAGGAUUUGAUGAGGCCAGUCGUUGGCACCCCACAUGGAACUUCUCUAGUAAUCUCAGCUGAUAUUCUUCCUGCUCACAGUACACAGUGUGUGCAGUUCCUCCAUGUGCAUAACUCAUAAAUCCCAACACCAGUCUGGAAUGAACCCCUGUGGGAGGUCUGACCCUGGGCCAGGCCACACACACGCACCGUUCAUGAGCCUCACUAGAACUCUGGGCAGAAAAGCGCUUCUGCAGAUGAGGAAACUGCAGGUUGGGGAGGUUCCUUGCCUUCCCCAAGUCACAGAACACGUUUGUGGUACACCCAGGCAUCAUGCCGUGGUUGGUCUAACUCUUCAGCUGGUGCUUGGGCCUUCCAUGACCUACUCCACUCUUCUUGCGAAACCUGAUGACAUCAUUACAUGUCCCCUAUGAGGCCAUCUGGUUGUUAUAGGGAGGAUGAUCCAGGCUAGAGAGGUGUGGGCUGCACUGGUGGCUCCUAGAGCUGGCGAUCCUUCAUAUUCAGGAACACUGCAAGCUGUGGCCAACACUGACUUCCUGGAAUCAGCCAACGUGGGAGCCUGGACACUGCAGAAAUUGGCAAACCACACAGCCGAGCGCUGCCCUUCUCCUUCCCAGAGGAGCAGCUUCCCAGCCCCGCACCGUGUUUACCCUGCAUGGUCACCGGGUUGCCACCGGCAGACAAGGCCCUGCCUCCCCCUUGAGCACACAGGCCAUCGAGACUCCCUUCUCAGGAGCCCCAACUGGUUUCCCGCCACUACGGACCCCUGAGCUUCUCUCCUGGAAGCUCCAGGGUGGCGGCUGCCUGGCCUUCAGAGACACCCACUGCCUCAGACCAGGCAGCCUGACUUGGAGACCCUUCCCCAUAGGAGCUGGGCUCCCCUUCAGCCUGCACAACCCACCCUUCACACCCAGUGGGAAGCCCACCCUCCUUGGGGAAGCCCACCCUCCUUGGGGAAGCCCUCUGCAGCCUGGCAGGAGGCCUUUGCUCCCUGGGUCCCCUCCUUGGGUCUCCUUCCCCAGGUCUCCUUCCCCAGGCUGUCCUGGGGCCCAGCUCUGUCUCUCACCUGGCGGUGUGGGCCUCGAGGGCUGGGCCUGUUGUGGGCCAGACCCCACCUGUUGGAAAUGCAGCCACCACAGUGCUCAAACAGCUGACCUUGUGCUUCCUUCAUGUGGAGGGAAAAAGACCUGGGGGCAGACCACUAACUGAACCAGCGUCAUUUAUGCAGAAAAUGCAUCCCUCUUGCCAUUCCUAUUUGCCCAAAGAUAUCCUGGAAGGGGGUCUUAGAGGCCAGCUGAAUCCCUGUCCGAAGCAGGGGGUCAGAGAGAGAUCUGCCCCAGCUGCAGAGCACGUGGCCUCCCAGUACGAGAAGUGGGGUGGCUGCACCCAGCACAGUGGGUACAAGGAAGUUGGAGCCACUCUGGACCACACUGGCCACAGCCUGAUCUGCGCAUUGCCCGGGCCCUGAGCACCUGGCCAGGUGCUGAACUCCUUUGGGAACUUCAGGUCUGAUGGAGAGGUGCUCCGUCCACUCUGCCCAGUGUCUGCCCUCUGCCCAGACGCCCCAAAAGCAGCCGCAGAGAGAAGGCGAACUUUGGCUUCGGGGGCCCAGUGCCACCACUUCCGAUCUGCGUGGCGGUGGUCAAGUGGCCUGGCUUUGCCGAGCCGCUUCCUCAUGUUGCACGUGGGGAUGACGGAGCCGCCCUCCAGGAAGCUCCAGGGAUUCAUAAGACCAGGCGUGCCAGAGCUGCAGGUCUCAGCAGCUGAUCACUAAGUGCUGGUGCCUGCUCACAAGGGACAGCUGCCCACCAGCUCUGGGCCAUGGCUGGGGGCUCCCGCCCAAGCCCUGGGCAACUGAUGAUACGUUGCUGACCGCAGGCAAGCCUCCCUGCCAGCCCUGCUGGCCUGCAUGGGACCAGGGAAGGAGGGUGAGGCCUAUAUUUAUCUGCAGUGUGAGGAGGCUUGUCUGGCAGUCAGAUGCAAAUGCCUUCAUCCCAUCUAGGCUGGUUGCUGCUCACAGCGGACAAGUCUUUCCCGCCUGUUCCACACCAGCCUGGUGCCAGUGACAGGGGUGGCGGGAGCUUCACAGUGCCUGGAGGCUCGUUCCUGGGCUGCGAAAGCGCCUGAGUGACGGAGGCUCAGGCUGAGCUUAGGCGAGUUUACUGAGGCUUAGGAGGAAGCCGGAUCAGAAGAGGCUGCAGAAACCAUAAUGCCCACACAUCCCUGCCCCAGCGGCGGCCCACAGGUGCCUGGCCUCAGCUCAGCUACACUGGAGGGGAGGUAGCCAGCACCCUGAUGGUGUCUCGGUUCUAAGACCCCAUUUACACAGUGGAAAACAGGAGGCAGCCGCCCAGCGACCUCUGCCCUUCAAAGGCUCCAAGAGAAGCAAAGGGACAGGUGUAAGGAAGUAAGCCCUGACCCUGGAGACUCAACAAGCCCUGAUGAAGUUAGACGAAGUUACAAGCUGGGCCCUGACCCUGGUCACACACUAAGCUCUGACCCUGGUCUCAGACUGAGCCCUGAUUCUCAUCACUGAGUCACUAAGUCCUGAUCCUGGUCACAUGUCGAGCCUCGACCUUAGUCAUACACUGAGUCUUGACCCUGGUCACAGGCUGAGCCCUGACCCUGGUCACACACUGAGCCCUGAUCCUGGUCACACACUGAGCCCUGACCCUGGUCCUCAAUCAGCUGAGCCUUGAUCCUGCUUCCUGAUUGGCUAUGAACUGUUCCAGUGUGGAAGGGAGAGGCCAGGGCAUGAGGUGGGACUCGCUAGGGCAGCCCCUCUGCACAUCUGGGACUCAGGUCAGAACACAACCCUCCCUACAUGCGAGAAGAAGUUCCUGCAGGUGGCAUCUUUCAGGUAGCUGUGCUUUAAGCCUGCGCUGGGCUUGCCCUCCGGUGACAGCAGCAGCUUUCAAGGAGGCAGCCAUGAGACAGUCCCUCAGGCUGGGGGCUUGAUCACGCUCACCUCAGAGCCUCACCUCCUGGGGAGUGAGCAAAAGUGAGAGUCAUUAACCCACUUUACAGAGGAGGAAACGGAGGCCCGGGAAGGGGCCUCAGGAUCUCGCCCAGAGAAUAGCCGGUCCUGAAGACCCUGCAUCUGAGCCACACCCUGCUCUGCCCACACCUCCUGGGGUCUCAGCACCCCCAGUGCAUUUUCCCCCGCCCCCGGCCUGCACUGUGAGCUCCGGUUGGUGGUUCCUAGCAAGCACCUGUUGGCUGUGCCAGGCCCCAAGCGCCUCAUGAGCUAAAGAGGGUGCCCUGCUAUUCUGGGGCUCAAUGCCCAGCCUCUGCCCGAGUAGCCUUGUCUGUGCCUGUCCUGGGCCGGCCCUCCACGUCUGGAGGGGAGACGGAGCUUGCCUUCUCUGUGCUGUGGGACUGACUGUGUCGGGGUGGGGCAGGGAGGAAGCAAAAACCAAACCCCUCGCUUCCCCGACUGCCUGCCCUCGCCUGUCUCCAAACCUCACGGACAUCCAGCUCGAGGGAAGUGAACGUCACUCCAAUAUCUGAAAAUGCAGCUGAUGCUGCAAUUACAUCCCCUGUCCCUUCUCCUUCCGGGGGUCCUCUGGGGUCCUGGGAAUCCGGCCAACAGGAAUCUGUUUUAUGAUCCUGAGUCUCUGCCAGCAGGAAGGCCGGGCGAGGCCGGUCCCUAUGUGCCCACGAUGCUCUCACAUAAAUAUGCAUCACUUAAAAUUUAAUAAAAAAU
rnacentral:lncRNA from 1 species